rnacentral:rRNA from 1 species
CAGCGGAGCGUGUGGUUAAUUCGAUGCUACACGAAGACCUUACCAGGGUUUGACAUGCAAGUGGUAGGAAUCUGAAAAGGGACCGGACCUUCGGGGAGGCUUGCACAGGUGCUGCAUGGCUGUCGUCAGCUCGUGUCGUGAGAUGUUCGGUUAAGUCCGCUAACGAGCGCAACCCUCACUGUGUGUUAUAUGUGUCACACGGGACUGCCGGUUUUAAGCCGGAGGAAGGUGGGGAUGACGUCAAGUCAGCAUGGCCUUUAUAUCCUGGGCUACACACACGCUACAAUGGUCGGUACAAUAGGUUGCCAAGCCGCGAGGCGGAGCCAAUCCACAAAGCCGGCCUCAGUUCAGAUUGUAGGCUGCAACUCGCCUGCAUGAAGAUGGAGUUGCUAGUAACCGCAGGUCAGCAAUACUGCGGUGAAUACGUUCCCGGGUCUU